rnacentral:rRNA from 1 species
AUACGGAGGGUGCAAGCGUUACUCGGAAUCACUGGGCGUAAAGCGCGCGCAGGCGGCUUGAUAAGUUGGAUGUGGAAGCCUACGGCUCAACCGUAGAACUGCAUCCAAAACUGUCAAGCUAGAGUCUGGGAGGGGAAGAUGGAAUUAGUUGUGUAGGGGUAAAAUCCGUAGAGAUAACUAGGAAUACCAAAAGCGAAGGCAAUCUUCUGGAACACUACUGACGCUGAGGCGCGAAGGCGUGGGGAGCAAACAGGAUUAGAAACCCCAGUAGUCC